AACGAACGCUGGCGGCAUGCCUAACACAUGCAAGUCGAACGAGACCUUCGGGUCUAGUGGCGCACGGGUGCGUAACGCGUGGGAACCUGCCCUUAGGUUCGGAAUAACUCCCCGAAAGGGGUGCUAAUACCGGAUAAUGUCUUCGGACCAAAGAUUUAUCGCCUUUGGAUGGGCCCGCGUUGGAUUAGCUAGUUGGUAGGGUAAAAGCCUACCAAGGCGACGAUCCAUAGCUGGUCUGAGAGGAUGAUCAGCCACACUGGGACUGAGACACGGCCCAGACUCUUACGGGAGGCAGCAGUGGGGAAUAUUGGACAAUGGGCGAAAGCCUGAUCCAGCAAUGCCGCGUGAGUGAUGAAGGCCUUAGGGUUGUAAAGCUCUUUUACCCGGGAUGAUAAUGACAGUACCGGGAGAAUAAGCUCCGGCUAACUCCGU
rnacentral:rRNA from 1 species